GACGAACGCUGGCGGCGUGCUUAACACAUGCAAGUCGAACGCUGAAGCCCUUCGGGGUGGAUGAGUGGCGAACGGGUGAGUAACACGUGGGUAAUCUGCCCUGCACUCUGGGACAAGCCCUGGAAACGGGGUCUAAUACCGGAUAUUACCUGCCGAGGCCUCUUGGCGGGUGGAAAGCUCCGGCGGUGCAGGAUGAGCCCGCGGCCUAUCAGCUUGUUGGUGGGGUGAUGGCCUACCAAGGCGACGACGGGUAGCCGGCCUGAGAGGGCGACCGGCCACACUGGGACUGAGACACGGCCCAGACUCCUACGGGAGGCAGCAGUGGGGAAUAUUGCACAAUGGGCGCAAGCCUGAUGCAGCGACGCCGCGUGAGGGAUGACGGCCUUCGGGUUGUAAACCUCUUUCAGCAGGGAAGAAGCGCAAGUGACGGUACCUGCAGAAGAAGCACCGGCUAACUACGUGCCAGCAGCCGCAGUAACAC
rnacentral:rRNA from 1 species